rnacentral:rRNA from 1 species
ACAGAGGGUGCGAGCGUUGUCCGGAAUCACUGGGCGUAAAGGGCGCGUAGGCGGCUUGGUAAGUAGAGGGUGAAAUCUCACAGCUCAACUGUGAGGCUGCCUUCUAAACUGCCUGGCUUGAGCACAGUAGAGGCGAGUGGAAUUCCCGGUGUAGCGGUGGAAUGCGUAGAGAUCGGGAAGAACAUCGGUGGCGAAGGCGGCUCGCUGGGCUGUAGCUGACGCUGAGGCGCGAAAGCGUGGGGAGCAAACAGGAUUAGAUACCCUGGUAGUCCACGCUGUAAACGAUGGGUGCUAGGCGUCGGGGGGAGCGACCCCUUCGGUGCCGUCGCUAACGCAAUAAGCACCCCGCCUGGGGAGUACGGUCGCAAGACUG